AUUGAACGCUGGCGGCAUGCCUUACACAUGCAAGUCGAACGGCAGCGGGGGAGAAGCUUGCUUUUCCUGCCGGCGAGUGGCGAACGGGUGAGUAAUACAUCGGAACGUGCCCUGUAGUGGGGGAUAACUAGUCGAAAGAUUAGCUAAUACCGCAUACGACCUGAGGGUGAAAGUGGGGGACCGCAAGGCCUCAUGCUAUAGGAGCGGCCGAUGUCUGAUUAGCUAGUUGGUGGGGCAAAGGCCUACCAAGGCGACGAUCAGUAGCUGGUCUGAGAGGACGAUCAGCCACACUGGGACUGGGACACGGCCCAGACUCCGACGGGAGGCAGCAGCGGGGAAUUUUGGACAAUGGGCGAAGGCCUGAUCCAGCAAUGCCGCGUGUGUGAAGAAGGCCUUCGGGUUGUAAAGCACUUUUGUCCGGAAAGAAAUGGCUCUGGUUAAUACCUGGGGUCGAUGACGGUACCGGAAGAAUAAGGACCGGCUAACUACGUGCCAGCAGCCGCCGUAA
rnacentral:rRNA from 1 species